AUUUUUAAAUAUAUAUGCUGCUAAAGAUUUAAGGCCUCUUACAUUAUGGCGACUCGAUCAAAUAUGUAACAAAUGUAUGAAAUUAUCUUUUAAAGAUUCUCUGUUCAAAUAAUUUAUUGUGUAUAUAUUGUAUAUAAUAUUCUUAUACAAUUUGCGUAUACAACGAGAGUAUAUUUAUCACAAAGAAAUGGAGAAAACAUGGAUAGUUGUAAGAUUUGAAGAUAAAAAUGUUGUCGAAGCGGUGCCAACAAGUUGGAUUACUAAUGACAGAUGUUAUUGACCACCAUAUACAACAGAAAAAAACCUUAAAAGCAAUAAAAGAUCAUGUUGAUUUUAAUUCUUCAUGGGCGAGCUACGAAGUAUAUGUCUUUAAAAAUAGUACCUCCGAAAGUUAUCAAGUGUGUAGACUGAAAGCUAAAAAAGCUGAGGAUACAUCAGAUUUAAAUUCAGAUUACAGUAAAGAAUAAAUAAAAAGAACCGUUUAUAUGAGAGCGAUAGUUCUGAAUCUACUAAAUAUAAUGAUAUGACAUUGCCAUCUCCACCAAAUUUAAAAGAACAUUCUGAUACAGAAAUCCAAAUAUCAAAGACGAAUUUUUCUAGAACUAAAAAAGUAUACACAUGUGUUGGAGAGAAUCCACAAAGAAAGAAUACACAAAAAAGAUAUAACAUGUGACUCUUUCA